ensembl:lncRNA
UAUUAUUAUGUUAUAUAUGCUCUGUUUAUUUUCCUCUUAGACAUCUGAAAAAUAUACUCAUAUUAUACGUCUAUUUUAAUAUACACAAUCCCAAAUUUUGUAAAUUAAAAGAGAGUUUGCUUUUUUUUUUUCUUUUUUUUUUAGUAAUGUUUUUUUUUUUAUAUUAAUUUUUUAUGUGUAUUAUUUUUCAUUAAAAAUAAUGGUUUCCCCACUUAUGCCUUAUAUGUAUAUGUUAAUUUUGUUUUUUUUUUUUUAGUUAGAGCCAAAAUGUACGAAGCUAUUGAUUUUGAAGCUUUGAAAAAAGAAAUGAAACUUGAAAAACUAAUAAAUGAAAGAGUAGAUGCUUCGAACGCUAACGUUAACGCUAGCGCUAGCGCUAACACAAAUAUAAUAAACAAAACAGAGGAAACAUCGAAAAUAGAACACCACCCUCAAAUAAAAUUUAAAAUAAUCAAUGCUUUUUAUUUGUACAAUUAUAUGCAACUACUAUUAGAUGAAGACGUUAAUAAAAGUAUGUAUAUCAUUGAUUUACGAGAUGAAAAAAUAUAUAGAAAGAGUCAUUUAAAGAACGCUAUACACAUAAGAAAUGUCACUAAACUGAACAAGGCGAUAACUGAAAUGAAAACGGAAGUAAGCACAAGCAGUAACACAAACAACGACGCAUGCAAUAACACCCACAAAAGAAUCACAGGGAAAAAAAAAGUGAUUUUUUAUGAUUAUGAGGUAGCUCAAAAUCUUAAUACAUAUAGCUCGUUUUUAAGUCCAAUUUUUGAAAAUGUACAUGCUGAUUUUUAUUUUUUAAAAGAGGGUUUUAAACAUUUUGAAAAUGUAUACAGUUUUUUAUGUGUUAAUAAAAACGUUGGUUCCGACAAUAUACAGAUAAACUCUAUACCAUUUGCACCUUAUGUAAUAAAUUAUCCCAUCAAAAUUUGUAACAACGUUUAUUUAGGCCAUAUUAUUCAUAUUAAUAAUUCUUAUGUAAACCACUUUUUAAGAAUAAAAUAUAUAUACGAUUUUACAUCAUCUGGUUUUUAUAUAAAGCAUGAUGAACAUGUCACAUAUUUUAGAUAUAAUGUUUUUAAAAAAAAAUUAGAAAAUAAAAAUUCGUUGAAAGGUGAAUGUAUAAAUUUUAACAACUUUUUAGAUAAUUAUAUGAUAUACCAAGUUAUUUAUAAUAUAGCUAAAAAUUAUAACGAUCAAAUUGAUAACAAUGUACUGAUAAAUGAACAAGGGGAAAAUGUGGAGCGUACAAAUACCUUAAUAAUAUGUAAUGAAGGAAUAACAAAUAAAACAAAAAACAAUAUGAAUAGUAUAGGGUUAAUUAUUUGUAUGUGUUAUGUUAUGUAUAUACAAAAAUACAACUUUAACUUAAUCAUGACAUAUAUAUUAAAAAUAUAUAAUACUUUAGAUAUAAAUUUUAAAACACAAAUAUUUCUAAAAUCUUUUUAUAAUUCGUUAGAAAAAAAUAAUUUUGACUUAUCAACCUAUUGUUCGUUAAGAAGUGGUCGUAACAACGAUAGUGUUACAUGUAGUGAUAGUAUUAGUAGUAGUAGUAGCAGUAGUAGUAGUAGUAGUAGUAGCAGUAGUAGUAGUAGUAGCAGUAGCAGUAGCAGCAAAAUUAGUAAUAAAAAUCAUAGAUCAAUAAAUAUUAAACAAAAUGAUAGCAAUAAUCAUAAUAGCUAUAACAUACCAUAUAUAAACGACAAUAUUAAACGUCUUAUAAAUUUAUUCAAAAGUGACGAAUUUAUUAACCUAAUUAAAAAAUAUGAAAUAAAUAAUUCAUAUAUUAUGCUAGAUCGCUCAGACGAAUAUAUUCUUUAUAUAAAUCCAUCAACAAAUAUACUAACUGAUAUGCACAUAAUAAGACAAAAAGUUAAAAAUAAAGAAUACAGGAAUUAUGAAAUUGUAAUGCAUUCACUUUUAUAUUAUAUAUAUAAUAAUAAUUUUACUAUAUUAACAAAUUUUGACAAUAUAAAUAAUUUUUUGGAAAUAUUUGUUCUUAUCAUAAAUGAUAGUGAAGUAGACUAUCCAUUUAAAAUGCCAUAUGUAGCACUUAUACUUAUAAAUAUGUGUAAAGUCUUAAUGACAGAGGAUAAACAAUUAAAAUAUGAUAGCAAUCAAAAAAUACAAGCACAAACAGAAACACAAACUCAAACAGAAACACAAACAGAAACACAAACAGAAACACAAACUCAAACUCAAACUCAAACUCAAACUCAAGCACAUACGUUUGCAGAAGAAUAUGAAUGUUUAAAAGGUAAUGUACUGAAUUUAAUUUUUAAUAAUAUUGUCAUAUGUAUAGAUUUUUUUAUAAAUAAUAUUACAUAUACAACCGAAUUAAAUUACACUAAAAAAGAAGAAUAUAAACUCACGGUAAAAACAAAAAAUGAAUAUCUAACCCAAAAAUAUAUUAGUAAAAAUAUAUAUAUGAUGUUGCUAUCAUUAAAAUAUCUGUUAGCAACUUUUUUCUAUUUUUACGUUUACCCGACUAUUAAAAAAUUUACAUUUUCAUAUUUGGAUAUGAUUUACCAAUUAUUGAAAAAAAUUGAUAUAUUAGCUGAUUGUUAUUAUUCAAUUUUUAAUGUAACUAUUAAUUUAUUUAACAAACAAGAUUAUAAAGCAAAAGUUUGUUUUUAUGAUUAUUUGCCCUUAUAUUUUUCCGAUAUUUUAAGACCCUUUAUUAUAAUAAAUAAUUAUUUGUUUGGGAAUUUGGAACAUAGUAUAUAAAUAUAUAUGGAUCCUAAUUAACAAAAACAUAUGUAUAUAUUCUACCAACAUAUGUUCACUAUGUUUAUAAAUAAACGCGCACAAAUACGUGCGUGCA